rnacentral:rRNA from 1 species
AUGAAGCUUCUCCCGGCCGUCCUCGGCCUCGCCUUCCUCCUCCUCGUCCUGAGUCCCAAUGGCGUGGAGGCCCGGCCUGCGUCUACCGGUGAUCAUGAGAAGAAGCCAUCGGGCGCCACCUUCUUUAUCUUCGGGGAUGACUUCGCUGACAACUGGAACCUCCCUCUGACCGACCCUAUCACCGAGAUGUCGCGGCAAUGGGCUUACCCCUACGGCUCCAACUACGCCGAUGCUGAUGGGUUUCUGCGGCCGAAUACCCCGCCCGGCCGCUUCUCAAAGGAGACAAUGCCGAGGAAGCGUAAAGGAGAUGGCGAUGGAAUCGAUGAGGUUCCUUCGAAAAAGGUGAAACGCCCUCCUCCGCGGAACAGAGCCUCACCCAGUUCGCUUCUUCUAGCAUGCAAGGACAUGAAUGAUGACAGGAAGGGUGCCAUUGAUGAUAUGGAUUUAACUAGCCUUCGAAACAUCCAAUGUGAUCAUCUAUUCAACAAUCUCAGUGUGUGGCUUGCUGAUCUCUACGACCCCAAUUCGCGUGAGGUGGUCGUACCAGGCCGAGGCAGGCUUCCGGUCAAUGAAGAAUACGUGCAUCGUGUUAUGGGUGUGCUGCGUGGAGGGAAUGAUGUCCCUUACAACCUCCCAUCUGAAACUGAUAUUGAGUUAGGGCUUGAGUUGUUUGGCGAGCUCGGAUAUGCCCCUAAAAUGACUGAUCUUGUUGAUCUCAUAAAGGGUUCUGAAAAUUCUGAUGACACUUUCAAGCGUAUGUGGCUUCUGCUUGCGGGGAAUACAGUCAUUGCCCCGACCACCUCCAACAAAGUUAGCCCCCGUUGGUAUGCUGUGCUGCGUGACAUCAAUGGUGUUAAGAAUCUCAAUUGGUCCAAAUUUAUUGCUGAUGAACUGCACAAGGUGCUGUUGAAACGCAAGCCUACCAGGGGUUGCCUUCUUUUCUACAAUCUGUUGUACAUUCAUGCGAUCGAUCUUUCUGGACUUGGCAUCGAACUGCCUGAUGGUCCUUUUCCCAUCAAUGUAUGGACAAAGAAGCUGAUAACUCUUGUCCUCAACAAGGAUGUUCAGGCUGACAAAGUUUCUUUUGGGAAACUACCGUUGAAGCCUGAGUUUGGCAUGAAUUUCUGUCUCUUUGGUGGUGUGGAAGGUCUUGACAAGUUUAUGCGUGUUCAUACUGCCCCAAGCUGCAGUGAAGAGAAAUUUGCCAAAUCAACUCAGAUAGUUGCUCUAUUCACGUCCGCCAUGGCUGGCAUCCUAGGCAAUCUUGUGGAAUCAUUCACCGCUUUAGAUGAUGAGGGCCAUUCACAUGCAUCUCGUCAGGUAGACGCUGGAUUGAACGUUAUCUCCUCUGCCGCCCGUAUGACGUCAAGGACUACGCGGUCAUCGCAAGGCAGGCGGACAGAAAGUGCUGGAAAGAAUGUGGCUGAAGAUUCUGACAGUGAUGACUAUCACGGAGGCGAUGAUUCUGAUUCUGACGCUGACUCCGAUGAUGAUGAUGAUGACUAUCGAGUUGUUCGUCGUCGCCCUAAAGAUCCUUUUGUUGCUUCAGGCAGUGGUACCGUGGAUGUAGAUAUGGGCAGCGGUCCAGCUGAUGAUGAGACCACACAUCUUGAUGCAUCCGUCGAAUCAGGUGAUCGAGGGCUUAGCCAGCAAGAGGCGCAAGAAGCUGAGGCUACCAUCACCCCCCCAUUCAGCUUCACCAACUGUGCCAUCACCCCCCGUCCAACUUCACCAGCUGUGCCUGCCAGCCCAUCGCAAAGGCCGUCUUCACCAAUUGCACUGUCAGCAUCUGAGAUUCAUGAAGCUGUGAAGAAAGUUGUGGUCCAGGAGCUUGGUAUACGCGUGGCUGAAAAGGGAACCGGUGCCUCCGUCCCACUGUCCACUUUGCGGAAGGAGGCCCCACGCAGGGCCCCCGGCAAACAAUCUGUUGCUGCUAAGGAUUCAGGGAUUGCACCAGUGAAAAGUGCACCUAUGAAAAAAGUUGCUGCUGCUAAGGGUUCUCCAAGUGAACCAGGAAAAAGUCGUUCAAAAGAUAAAAGUGCAGUGAAAAAGGUGAAAUUCGCCAAGACCAGAUCCUCUCCACGACUAAGGGCAACAUUGUCGCAGACAACGUCAUCGGAGACAACAGAAGUUAUCCAUCUUGAUGAAUCUCCCACGGCGACAUCUCCGUCUGAAAAAGCAGCAGCAUCUAGCGAGGGUGCAUCUGAUGCUGUUGCGGCGACAUCGGCUGGUGUUUCUGAUGACACUGUUUUUCAGCUAGCUGCAGCGGCAACUGUUACUGCUGCUGUUGAAGAUAUCGCCAGUGUGGCUGUAGCUAUUGAAUGCGAAAAUGAAGUCGUCCCUAAUAUAGCGCAUGAUGGAAGUGAAGCUGAGAAAGUUGUGGGAAGUACCAGAGACAAUAUGCCUACUGAUACGGCUAUAGCUGGAGGUGAAAAGAAUGAUGCCGAUAAUCCUGUUGUCACAGCAGUAGCUGACCAUGCACUAGAGUUGAGCACCCCUGGAGCUAGAAACUACGAUGGUAAUUUUAUGCCACCCAGCUGCUCUCUUAGGCUGGAUGACAUCUUUGGUGCGAGUCCUCAAGUGCCACCAUCUACUGAAGCAACUGCAACGGCUCAAGCUGCACCAAUGUUGGCUCAAGUACCACCUGCAGCACCAGAAGCACCUGCGGUGGCGCCAUAUGCUCAAGUACCACCUGCAGCACCAGAAGCACCUGUGGCGGCGCCAUCUGCUCAAGUACCACCUACAGAACCAGCUACUGGCCCUGACGUCGUUCUAGGGCUCGCAGCUCCUGUUGAUGCUGACUCGAAGGGCAAGGCAUUGAUGAAAGUUACCAAGGCUCAACCGGUUGCUUGGGCUCCGCCACCCAACAACUCUGGUAAGUGA